rnacentral:lncRNA from 1 species
CUUCAGAGUCCCAUACAGUCAGCUGGAGAGCUCACAGCAUUCUGUGCACUUACCUGCUUUCUCAAAGAAGGGAGUGAAUUGGGGGAGGAUUUUAGGCUUAACCUAAACUGCAUUUGCAAAGUGUCUGGUGUAGAGGGGCCCCGACUCUACCUGGAGCUGCUGGACAAUAAAAAUACUCAGAAUCUUAACAUUUCCGGAGGUCAGCAGGUGUAAGAAAACUGCAGCAACAGGAUCUGUGGCUGCCUGCGUAUCAUGAAGCUCGCUGCUUAACAACAGAAAUAAAGCACUUGUCAGGCAGAAGCAAUGCGUCAGUGCAAAAUGGAAUUCGCAAGACUAAAGUUUACACGAGGCAACAACAAAAUCUACUGUGCCAUUCUGUUAGGCAACAAAGGGAAACAUCUUGUUAGCAUCCAUCAGUACGAAUGCCAUUUUGCAUCAAGAAAAUGCUGAUCGUGGAACAGUUUGGGCGCUGCGCGCAGAAAGCUCACAGGUGAGUGAGCCAGCUGGCUCUUUCUGCAGUGCAAGUGCAGUGUGUUUUCAAAUUCACAGUGCUGCUUGGCUGAGCUUCGGGUCAUGGAGAGGUGAGCUGCCGUGCGAGACAGCCCCGUGUGAGCUGCC